AUUUAAUUUUCACAAUGGAUACGAACCAUACUUGAGGGCAAGCAUGGGCUAAGUAAGGGGAAUUUGAUAAUGCUCUAGAAUAGCGUAUUUUUAUGUAUUAAUCAUGUGUUUAUUCUGGGCUUGAUCCUACUAAUUUGAGCUAUUUAUGUCUUUUUAUCGAUUAGGGACUGAUUUAGAGGCAAAAGCAAAAUUAAGGACAAAAGUGCGAGCAUGGAAGACACAAGGACUAAAAACGCAAAAAGAAGAGAUUUUAUUUUAUAAGACUCUAUUUUAUUUAUAUUAGAAUAAUUAAUAUUAAGAUAAUUAUUAGGAUUUGUAGCACCCCAAACCCAGCCCAGACGUUAUGGCCGGAUCUGACAUGCCACAUCGAAG
rnacentral:lncRNA from 1 species